rnacentral:rRNA from 1 species
GAUGGACACGAACGCGAGGCCUAACGCAUGCCCGCUUAGAGGAAUUGUUUCUUCUGAAAGGACACAACGGGGUAAGGGUGCGGAACACUGGUGCAGCCUGCCUAUAUCUGGGGGAGAGCCUUUCCAAAGGAACAUUAGUACUCCCUAAUAUACUGAACGGGAUCCCUUAAUAUUGAAGGCUCCGGCGGAUAGAGAUGGGCACCCCCUUCAUUAGCUAGAUGGUGAGGUAACGGCUCACCAAGGCGAUGAUCUUGAUGGGGCCUGAGAGGGAGAUCCCCCCCCCUGGUACUGAUACACCGACCAUACUCCUACGGGAGGUAACAACGAGGAAUAUUGGUCAGUGGGUGCAACCCUGAACCAGCCAUCCCGCGUGAAUGACAACUGCCCUAAGGAUUGUAAACUUCUUUUGUGUACGGAUAAACCUACCCUCUUGAGGGUAGCUGACCGUACUAUGCGAAUAACCACCGGCAUAUCUCCGUGCCAUCAGCCGCGCGAAUACAGACCGGUGCAAGCAUUACUCCGGAUUUAUUGGGCUUAAAGGGUCCCGUAGGCGGACUUAUAAGUCAGAGGUGAAAGCCUGUCGCUUAGACAAUAGAACUGCCAUUGAUACUGUAAGUCUUGAGUAUAUUUGAGGUAGCUGGAAUAACUAGUGUAGCGGUGAAAUGCAUAGAUAUUACUUAGAACACCAAUUGCGAAGGCAAGUGACCGAGAUAUAACUGACGCUGAGGGACGAAAGCGUGGGGAGCGAACAGGAUUAGAUACCCUGGUAGUCCACGCCGUAAACGAUGCUAACUCGUUUUUGGGCUUUAUGGUUCAGAGACCAAGCGAAAGUGAUAAGUUAGCCACCUGGGGAGUACGCUCGCCAGAGUGAAACUCAAAGGAAUUGACGGGGGCCCGCACAAGCGGUGGAUUAUGUGGUUUAAUUCUAUGAUACGCCAGGAACCUUACCACCACUUAAAUGGGAAUUGACCGCUUAAUAAAUAGAUCUUUCUUCUCACAAUUUUCGAGGUGCUGCAUGGUUGUCCUCGGCUCGCGCCGUGACGUGUUAGGUUAAGUCCUGCUACGAGCGCAACCCCUGUCACUAGUUGCCAUCAUUCAGUUGGGGACUCUAGUGAGACUGCCUACACCUGUAGAGAGAGAAGGCGGAGAUGACGUCAAAUCAUCACGGCUCUUACUGCUUGGGCCACACACGGUAAUACAAUGGGCGGUACAGAGGGCAGACUACGCAGCGAUGUGAUGCAAAUCUCGAAAGCCCGUCUCAGAUCGGAUUGGAGUCUGAUGCUCGACUCUAUGACGCUGCAAUCGCUGAGUAUCGCUCAUCAUCCAUGGAGCGGUGAAUACGUUCCCGGUCUG